ACGAACGCUGGCGGCGUGCUUCACACCUGCAAGUCGAACGGUGAAGCGCCUUCCUUUUUGGUGGGUGUGGAUGAGUGGCGAACGGGUGAGUAACACGUGAGUAACCUGCCCCCUUCUUCUGGAUAACCGCAUGAAAGUGUGGCUAAUACGGGAUAUUCUGGGUCUGUCGCAUGAUGGGUCUGGGAAAGAUAUUGUUUCGGUGGGGGAUGGGCUCGCGGCCUAUCAGCUUGUUGGUGGGGUGAUGGCCUACCAAGGCGGCGACGGGUAGCCGGCCUGAGAGGGUGGACGGUCACACUGGGACUGAGACACGGCCCAGACUCCUACGGGAGGCAGCAGUGGGGAAUAUUGCACAAUGGGCGCAAGCCUGAUGCAGCGACGCCGCGUGAGGGAUGGAGGCCUUCGGGUUGUGAACCUCUUUCGCCAGUGAAGCAGGCCUGCCUCGUUUGUGGGUGGGUUGACGGUAGCUGGAGAAGAAGCGCCGGCUAACUACGUG
rnacentral:rRNA from 1 species